UAGAUAAGAGCGUGUUUGUAUCUCAUGCGUGUUGCUCCGAUCACAUUUCUUCAGUCACACUUUUGCAAAGCUUGAAUUAGUUGCACGCCGUCUCGGAGACGCAUUGUGAUGCAGACUGAAAUCUAAUGGGAAUGUCUUCCGUGAAAAAGAAUGGAUGAUGAAUGAGAAAGACAAAGAACAAAGAAAGGCCAAUCUAGAUGGGAAGGAAAUACAAGUGAAGCGAUGAAAGGCAGAGGCGUGUAGUAAAAUAGCGCGAAGACACCGUGUGAUACGCUGAGAAGAGAGAGCCGAGGCAGAGACGACGGACUGGGAAUACCGAUGGCACGACUUCUGAGAGUCUGGCAGCAGAAACCCCACGGCAACAAAGUCCGGUUGUCCUUUGAGCUCCACGGAGACGCCGAAAAGAAGGAGAGAGUCUGAAUGUUGAACAAGAUGUUGUCGGUGUAUCUGUGUGCGACAGCGUCCCAGUGAGGAGGCAGUGAUCCGAUAACCCAGCCCCUGAAUUGCAGUCAUUCCUACGUUCUUCCAGGCAUUUGUAUAUAACAGCCAACACACACUGUGCCUUGUCUUCAGCUGACACUGGAUGACCUUACCCUAAUAAAAACAAGGUCUGUCAGAUGCAAAUUAGCUGAAGCUACACUCUGGUACAGAGCAUCAAAUGGUGACAUGACUCAAGCAGAUGGCUGGCCUGUAAGAGAUGAAUGCAUUCUACAAGGAUAAUGUUCAGCAGCAGAGGCUCUAUCGAUCUGCGCACCGAAAGGGAAAAGUCUUUGCAGCAUGCGGAGAGCUGCGGGUCACAAGGCCAGCCAUGCAGUCAGCAGGUGGAUUCACUCACAGCAGGGACGGACACGCACGUCAACACAAUCA